GAUGAACGCUAGCGGGAGGCUUAACACAUGCAAGUCGAGGGGCAGCAUAGGGUAGCAAUACUCUGAUGGCGACCGGCAAACGGGUGAGUAACGCGUAUGCAACCUACCCUGUACAGGGGGAUAACCCGGAGAAAUUCGGACUAAUAUCCCGUAAUAAUAUCCGGAGGCAUCUUUGGAUAUUUAAAGUUCCGACGGUACGGGAUGGGCAUGCGUAACAUUAGCUGGUUGGUAAGGUAACGGCUUACCAAGGCUAUGAUGUUUAGGGGUCCUGAGAGGGUGGUCCCCCACACUGGUACUGAGACACGGACCAGACUCCUACGGGAGGCAGCAGUGAGGAAUAUUGGUCAAUGGGCGCAAGCCUGAACCAGCCAUCCCGCGUGCAGGAAGACGGCCCUAUGGGUUGUAAACUGCUUUUCCAGGGAGAGAAACUUAACGCACGUGUUGCGUGACUGACGGUACCCUGGGAAUAAGCAUCGGCUAACUCCGUG
rnacentral:rRNA from 1 species